UACGGAGGGUGCAAGCGUUAUCCGGAUUCACUGGGUUUAAAGGGUGCGUAGGUGGGCAAGUAAGUCAGUGGUGAAAUCUCCGGGCUUAACCCGGAAACUGCCAUUGAUACUAUUUGUCUUGAAUACUGUGGAGGUCAGCGGAAUAUGUCAUGUAGCGGUGAAAUGCUUAGAUAUGACAUAGAACACCAAAUUGCGAAGGCAGCUGGCUACACAAAUAUUGACACUGAGGCAACGAAAGCGUGGGGGAUCAAACAGGGA
rnacentral:rRNA from 1 species